CAAUCAAUUACUUAUUAAAAUUUCUUUACAUUCCUAUAUUCUUAUACAUCUAACAUUGUUUUUUAUUCAUAUCUCAGUUUGAGACUUUUUGCUUGACCCAAAAUGUUAAUUUAAUUUGAAUUAAACAAAGAGUUCGAUUAGAUUUAAAAGUAGAAUUUCUUAUACAUAUAACAUGUAAAUAAUUAACUACUUUAAGGUCCUAUUUGGAUGCAUAAAUUACUUGUUCAUCAUAUCUUCUUGAUUUAUUCAAAAAGUUUGUAUAUUUUAACGAUAAGGAAUGUGAUCAAAUAUUUAAAAUAAGAUACCAUAUUCGACCAAUCAAAUUUUUUUCUUAGGAAAAUAAAUCAAACUCCCACAUUAUAAAUACUAGGGAAAACUUCAAAUACCACCCCCGUGGUUUUGCACUUUUUCACUUUAGUACCCUGUGGUUUAAAGUGCAUCAAUUUAGUACCCUGUGGUUUUAUUUUUCUUUUUUUGUCGACUCUUCUAUUAAUAUUUUGUUAAAUUAUAUACAAAAUACUUUAGAUACCCUAACUAGGUUUAUUGAAUAUUUACUUUAGUAUCCUUUAGUUUUAACUUUGCCACUGAUUUUUUUUCCUCCAUUAAUAUUUCGUUAAAUUAUAUACAAAAAAUUUUAGAUACCCUAUCUAGGAUUAUUGAAUAUUCACUUUAAUACUCUUUAAUUUUAACUUUGUUACUAAUUUAAUAAAAAAAAUUAGUAAAAUGAAUAAUAAAAAGAGAAAAAAUGAAACCACAGGGUACUAACUUAAUACACUUUAAACCAUAGGGUAAUAAAGUGAGAAAGUACGAAACCACAGGGACUAACUUGAUACACUUUAAACCACAGAGUACUGAAGUGAAAAAGUAUAAAACUAUAAAGGGAUAUUUGAAGUUUACCCUAAAUCCUAUAAAGUUAUUGUCCCACAACUUAUACCAAUAUCCAAACAAAGUGUUAAAAAAAAUUAGACUUAUAAAAUUAAUAUUAUUUAAUAUUUUAUUUUCAACAUAAA
rnacentral:lncRNA from 1 species